AUUGAACGCUGGCGGCAGGCCUAACACAUGCAAGUCGAGCGGAUGAAGGGAGCUUGCUCCUGGAUUCAGCGGCGGACGGGUGAGUAAUGCCUAGGAAUCUGCCUGGUAGUGGGGGAUAACGUCCGGAAACGGGCGCUAAUACCGCAUACGUCCUGAGGGAGAAAGUGGGGGAUCUUCGGACCUCACGCUAUCAGAUGAGCCUAGGUCGGAUUAGCUAGUUGGUGGGGUAAAGGCCUACCAAGGCGACGAUCCGUAACUGGUCUGAGAGGAUGAUCAGUCACACUGGAACUGAGACACGGUCCAGACUCCUACGGGAGGCAGCAGUGGGGAAUAUUGGACAAUGGGCGAAAGCCUUAUCCAGCCAUGCCGCGUGUGUGAAGAAGGUCUUCGGAUUGUAAAGCACUUUAAGUUGGGAGGAAGGGCAGUAAGUUAAUACCUUGCUGUUUUGACGUUACCAACAGAAUAAGCACCGGCUAACUACGUG
rnacentral:rRNA from 1 species